rnacentral:lncRNA from 1 species
CGCAGCUCGGAUCCCACGUUGCUGUGGCUCUGGCGUAGGCCGGUGGCUACAGCUCUGAUUAGACCCCUAGCCUGGGAACCUCCAUAUGCCACAGGUGCAGCCCUAAAAAGGAUAAAAGACAAAAAAAAAAAAAAAGCACAAGCAUAAGUUUCUGAUAAUUCAUAGAUGUGCCCUACUCAGCUUUUUCUUGUGCUACUGCCAUAGGUGAUGAUCAAGACUUCAGCCAUAGCUGCCUUGGAGAUAUCUAUUAUUGUCCCAAAGGAGGCUGAGCAUGACUGUACUACCAGACCAUCACAGACAAACUGCAGAAAAGGCAUAUAUAUGCUCAAAGUCUUAAUCACCGUCAGCAAGUUUUCCUGAGAAAUAUGACCGUUUUCAAAUUUCACAGAGCUGAAAGAAUGGUUGAGGGUAUCACAGACUUACAGAUUUUUGAAUUGGAAAGAUAAAUUCCCUGCUUUCAGGUGAGAGUAAAGAAGUCCUGACACAAUUUACUUAUAACUGUCCAUCCUUUGUUGUUUGUGGAGGAAUAAGCAUAAAUAGAAGACAAUAGAGUAGGGGAUUAUUGGCAGAGAUUGCCAAAGGAUAAGGAAAGUGGCCAUCUGGUUAGUGUUAGGGUUUGCACAGGUAUACUAGAGAAAAACAGAAAAGUUGUAUAGAUAGAUACAGAAUCCAGAAGCAGAAACCAACAAAGGGACUGUGGUUCACAUGAAGUAUUAAGGGGGACAAGGUAAAGGCCUGUUUGGAGAGGCAAUGAUGCAACUAGUACCUACUAAUUUAAGACAGAAAAAUCCCUUUGCAAUAUAAUUAAACAGGCUUUGAUCUUAGGAAUGCAUUUCUGAAACAUAGCCUGACAUCAAGACAAUGCUUAUUCCAACAAAACUUUGUAAGUUUCAGUCGCUGCAGAACUUUGUAAGCUUCAACACCUGCAGUGUAGCAGUGGCUAUGUUAGAAUGAGGUGAAGCAGGACAACUAAAAGUAGGAAAUCAGUAGAAUCAAGUGGGUGGCUAAAAGAAAUAUCUUAAGUGUCAUUGAGGAUUACACUUAGAAAAUUAGAUCUAACUAUAAAUGCAGGGAAACUGCACUGGUGAUAUAGAGAGGUAAGUAGAAGUUUCUCAUCUGAACAAAGGUGUCCUUCUGACUAGGAAAAGUUCUUUGUGGUGAUAACAUAUUCAAAUGGUAUUACCCCAGGAUACCUAGGGCAGUGAGGGUAAGGUAGUUCAGCAAUGUCUUCAUUAUGGUUUUCUUUUCAUAUGUGCUGGAUAAUAAUAUAUUUAUUCAACAAACAUGUUUAAUUUAUUGAGUCAUAUAUUUGAUAUAUUAUAAAAAUAGAGAGGAAUAUGGCAGAGUCACUUACCCUUGA